rnacentral:sRNA from 1 species
GUUGGGUGUAGCAGCUUGCACCUGUAGUCCCAGCUACCUGGGAGGCUGAGGUAGAAAGAUCCAUUAAGCCUAGGAGUUUGAUGUCAACCUGAGCAACACAGCAAGUCCCUAUCUCAA